CAAACUUACUUUGUUCACAUUCCAUUGUCUAAGGCAAGGAGAUACUUUAGUUAACUGCUCAUUCUCCGCCUUGGCUUCCUAAAGUGUUGACCUCAUCCUUCUUAGUCCAUCAGGGAAUAUGUACUUGAUGUGAUAUUCCUAGUAUAAUGCUGGAUAUUGUAGGAAACAGAGGAAGUGUAAACUCUGAGCCUUGCUCUCAAGAAGCUUGCAAUUUAUUUGUUUUCGUAAAUUGUCCAUUUUCCAUUAAUUCAGGCCUUAUUGGAAAGAAUUUCCUGAUUCUCUGUCCAUCUGACUCAGCCUCUCCAGUUUCCAAAUACCCUGAGUUCACUUUCUUCUUUAAAAUAAGAUGUGUAGAGGACAUCCCAUUACCCAUCACCAUAGCAGAAAAGACUGCUGAAUCUGAAGACAAAGCACCUGCAUUUGAAUCCUACUUCUGACUCCCAUUACUUGAGUGUCCAUAGAAAAUUGUCAAUUCUACAACCUGUCUUCCAGGAGGAUUAUGCCCAGACUGUUUGCUGCAUGCCCAAAAUUUUCUGGAGGAAGAGAGGACCAGGGAAGAGAGUUUGUGGGCUUUUGGGGGGCAAAGAGGAUGAAAGGGAAAUGUCUACCAAAGAUGAAGUCUGCAGGGAAUGGAGGUGGGUGUGGCUUUUAGAACCAUUAUGCUAGGGAAAUCUGAGGAUUUAGACCUUUCACAGGGCCACAUGGGUAGGAGUCUGGUCUGUAUCAGACCGCAAAAAUCAUUACUUCACCCUGGGGUUCCAGGGAAAAGAACAACCAGUUCUCCCCACAACAUCACCUCACAUGGACUGCAGCAGUCUCUGCUUAUAACUAUUCCCUCCCUCAGGUUCUGAGUCAUGCUUCAUCAGGCCUGGGAUCCUGCACAAAACAGCAGGGCUGCUGAGUCACAACACAAUCUAGAAAUGGACACAUUCUUGUCCAGUCUGUCAGUAAAGCUAGGGAGGUGGUAGAAAGUUCUCUUCCGCCCCCUCCCAAUAAUUUUCCCUUAAUUAUUCAGAAUAUCUCCACCAUCAGAACCACCUCCAUAACUUUAACCCCUUACAACCAUUCAUUCCUACCUCUAGACCACUGGCCAGCUUAUCUGCUCAUUUCAGAAGUAGGAAUGAGGAGACUGGGGUGGGGGGGUGUAAUCUUUGACCUUCCUUUACAGUCUCUGACUCAAAGGUUCAGAGCCAGAGAACCUUUGUUCUCUCUGGUGACCUUUGUUAACUUUGUUUUUACCCCUUUGUUGGUCCAAUAAAACUUAUGGUCCCUUUCUCAGAAUAAUGUUUUCAAUUGCAUAAAACAAUAUAUAGGAAACUAAAUAUAUUGAAAUAAUUGUCAACAUAUUUUUUAAAAAAAGAAACACAAAUUCAUGGAUUUCAGAUAAAGAAUCUCUCUUUUAGGCCUUGGAGAAAGAAUUGGAAGAGUCUAUGCUAAACACCAAGAAAGGAGAUUAAUAAACUCUUUGAGGUCAGGGACUACCUUUUGCAAUUUUUUUAUUUCCAGCAUAUGGUAGGCAGUUAAUAUAUGUUUAUUGAUUAAUUGAUGUUGAUUGAUAAGCCUUAAACUAAAAGUCUUUAACUUUAGUCUCUAAUGGCAAUGGUUUUUCUCUUCAAGUUUAAAUAUGGAUCAGAUAAAGAGAACUCUAUAGGGUACUUAGAAGAGUAGUUUUGUGAGGGAAUUCCCCCAGAAAGGAAUCAGCUACUGAAAUAUUGAUUCUUGGUUCUCCUUAGCCUGAGAUUUUUGUUUGUUUGUUAUCUAUUCUAGAAACUACCAUUCCAACUUUAACAUUUAGCCUCUAGGAAGUGCUAAGCCAAAGACAGAUUCCCUCCUCCCCCCCCCCACUCCAUGCAAAGAAACAAACCUGUAAUAACAAAGGAUAAACAAAACCAAGGAAAUUAAACUUUUAGAAAAAGAAACAUGGAAACUGAAAGCUCCAAAAAUCACAGAAAUUUUAUCUUUAUGUAGCUAAAACACAGGCAAAGGCUGAGAGAUUAAGGGAUUAAGGGAUCCUAAUCCCAUCGUUUCUAUUAGUCCUACCUGAGAAAAACUGGCUGGGAAUAGGACUUCAUCAUGUGGAUCCCAGACAUAUUGACUUUGAGGUCACUACCAUCUCCCCCCUCCAUGGUUUGUCAAUGGACUCUAUCCCUCUAAGAGUCUUAUUUUCAGCCUGUGUGGAAUAGAAAGAUAAGGUGAAGAGUUUACAGGAAUAUGUGAAUUCUUUUUCUAUUUUAUUUUCAUUAUUUCUGUG